rnacentral:rRNA from 1 species
AUUGAACGCUGGCGGCAUGCUUUACACAUGCAAGUCGAACGGUAACAGGUUAAGCUGACGAGUGGCGAACGGGUGAGUAAUGCAUCGGAACGUGCCCGAUCGUGGGGGGUAACGCAGCGAAAGCUGCGCUAAUACCGCAUACGAUCUGAGGAUGAAAGCGGGGGACCGUAAGGCCUCGCGCGAUCGGAGCGGCCGAUGUCAGAUUAGGUAGUUGGUGGGGUAAAGGCGCACCAAGCCGACGAUCUGUAGCUGGUCUGAGAGGACGACGAGCCAGACUGGGACUGAGACACGGCCCAGACUCGUACGGGAGUCAGCAGUGGGGAAUUUUGAACAAUGGGCGAAAGCCUGAUCCAGCAAUGCCGCGUGAAGGAAGAAGGCCUUCGGGUUGUAAACUGCUUUUGUACGGAGCGAAAAGGUCCUUUCUAAUACAAGGGGCUCAUGACGGUACCGUAAGAAUAAGCACCGGCUAACUACGUGCCAGCCGCCGCCGUAAUAC